UACAGAGGGGGCAAGCGUUAUUCGGAAUUAUUGGGCGUAAAGGGCGCGUAGGCGGCCUGGCAAGUGGAAGGUGAAAUCCCUCGGCUUAACCGAGGAACUGCCCUCCAAACUGCUUGGCUUGAGUCCGGGAGAGGUGAGUGGAAUUCCCAGUGUAGCGGUGAAAUGCGUAGAUAUUGGGAGGAACACCGGUGGCGAAGGCGGCAUCCUGGACCAAUUCUGACACUGAGGAGCGAAAGCCAGGGGAGCAAACGGG
rnacentral:rRNA from 1 species